CCUACGGGCGGCUGCAGUGGGGAAUAUUGGACAAUGGGGGGAACCCUGAUCCAGCCAUGCCGCGUGUGUGAAGAAGGCCCUCGGGUUGUAAAGCACUUUCAGUGAGGAAGAACGCCUGGUGGUUAAUACCCAUCAGGAAAGACAUCACUCACAGAAGAAGCACCGGCUAACUCCGUGCCAGCAGCCGCGGUAAUACGGAGGGUGCGAGCGUUAAUCGGAAUUACUGGGCGUAAAGCGCGCGUAGGUGGCUUGAUAUGCCGGUUGUGAAAGCCCCGGGCUCAACCUGGGAACGGCAUCCGGAACUGUCAAGCUAGAGUGCAGGAGAGGAAGGUAGAAUUCCCGGUGUAGCGGUGAAAUGCGUAGAGAUCGGGAGGAAUACCAGUGGCGAAGGCGGCCUUCUGGACUGACACUGACACUGAGGUGCGAAAGCGUGGGUAGCAAACAGGAUUAGAUACCCCGGUAGUC
rnacentral:rRNA from 1 species